rnacentral:rRNA from 1 species
UACGUAGGGGGCAAGCGUUGUCCGGAAUUAUUGGGCGUAAAGAGCGUGUAGGCGGCUUGGUAGGUCCGCUGUGAAAACUCGAGGCUCAACCUCGAGAUGUCGGCGGAAACCACUUGGCUAGAGUCCGGAAGAGGAGAGUGGAAUUCCCGGUGUAGCGGUGAAAUGCGCAGAUAUCAGGAAGAACACCAAUGGCGAAGGCAGCUCUCUGGGACGGUACUGACGCUGAGGAGCGAAAGCGUGGGGAGCAAACAGG